rnacentral:rRNA from 1 species
UACGUAGGGUGCAAGCGUUGUCCGGAAUUAUUGGGCGUAAAGAGCUCGUAGGCGGUCUGUCGCGUCGGAUGUGAAAAUCCAGGGCUCAACCCUGGACCUGCAUUCGAUACGGGCAGACUAGAGUUCGGUAGGGGAGACGUGGAAUUCCUGGUGUAGCGGUGAAAUGCGCAGAUAUCAGGAGGAACACCGGUGGCGAAGGCGGGUCUCUGGGCCGAAACUGACGCUGAGGAGCGAAAGCGUGGGGAGCAAACAGGAUUA